rnacentral:rRNA from 1 species
GACGAACGCUGGCGGCGUGCCUAAUACAUGCAAGUAGAACGCACAGUUUAUACCGUAGCUUGCUACACCAUAAACUGUGAGUUGCGAACGGGUGAGUAACGCGUAGGUAACCUGCCUGGUAGCGGGGGAUAACUAUUGGAAACGAUAGCUAAUACCGCAUAAUAUUUAUUAUUGCAUGAUAAUUGAUUGAAAUAUGCUAUUGCAUCACUACCAGAUGGACCUGCGUUGUAUUAGCUAGUAGGUGAGGUAACGGCUCACCUAGGCGACGAUACAUAGCCGACCUGAGAGGGGGGACGGCCACACUGGGAAUGAGACACGGCCCAGACUCCUACGGGAGGCAGCAGUAGGGAAUCUUCGGCAAUAGACGAAAGGCUGACCGAGCAACGCCGCGGGAGUGAAGAAGGUUGUCGGAUCGUAAAGCUCUGUUGUAAGAGAAGAACGGGUGUGAGAGUGGAAAGUUCACACUGUGACGGUACCUUACCAGAAAGGGACGGCUAACUACGUG